AGGAGCGUAGCUCAGUGGGAGAGCAUUGCGUUGACGUCGCAAGGGUCAGGGGUUCAAUCCCCCUCGCUCCUA
rnacentral:tRNA from 2 species